UCGAGCGGUAAGGCCCUUCGGGGUACACGAGCGGCGAACGGGUGAGUAACACGUGGGUGAUCUGCCUCGCACUUCGGGAUAAGCCUGGGAAACUGGGUCUAAUACCGGAUAUGACUUCUGGUCGCAUGGCUGGGGGUGGAAAGAUUUAUCGGUGCGAGAUGGGCCCGCGGCCUAUCAGCUUGUUGGUGGGUAAUGGCCUACCAAGGCGACGACGGGUAGCCGGCCUGAGAGGGCGACCGGCCACACUGGGACUGAGACACGGCCCAGACUCCUACGGGAGGCAGCAGUGGGGAAUAUUGCACAAUGGGCGAAAGCCUGAUGCAGCGACGCCGCGUGAGGGAUGACGGCCUUCGGGUUGUAAACCUCUUUCGACAGGGACGAAGCGCAAGUGACGGUACCUGUAGAAGAAGCACCGGCCAACUACGUGCCAGCAGCCGCGGUAAUACGUAGGGUGCGAGCGUUGUCCGGAAUUACUGGGCGUAAAGAGCUUGUAGGCGGUUUGUCGCGUCGUCUGUGAAAACUCACAGCUCAACUGUGAGCUUGCAGGCGAUACGGGCAGACUUGAGUACUGCAGGGGAGACUGGAAUUCCUGGUGUAGCGGUGAAAUGCGCAGAUAUCAGGAGGAACACCGGUGGCGAAGGCGGGUCUCUGGGCAGUAACUGACGCUGAGAAGCGAAAGCGUGGGUAGCGAACAGGAUUAGAUACCCUGGUAGUCCACGCCGUAAACGGUGGGCGCUAGGUGUGGGUUUCCUUCCACGGGAUCCGUGCCGUAGCUAACGCAUUAAGCGCCCCGCCUGGGGAGUACGGCCGCAAGGCUAAAACUCAAAGGAAUUGACGGGGGCCCGCACAAGCGGCGGAGCAUGUGGAUUAAUUCGAUGCAACGCGAAGAACCUUACCUGGGUUUGACAUACACCGGAAACCUGCAGAGAUGUAGGCCCCCUUGUGGUCGGUGUACAGGUGGUGCAUGGCUGUCGUCAGCUCGUGUCGUGAGAUGUUGGGUUAAGUCCCGCAACGAGCGCAACCCUUGUCCUGUGUUGCCAGCGGAUUAUGCCGGGGACUCGCAGGAGACUGCCGGGGUCAACUCGGAGGAAGGUGGGGACGACGUCAAGUCAUCAUGCCCCUUAUGUCCAGGGCUUCACACAUGCUACAAUGGCCGGUACAGAGGGCUGCGAUACCGUGAGGUGGAGCGAAUCCCUUAAAGCCGGUCUCAGUUCGGAUCGGGGUCUGCAACUCGACCCCGUGAAGUUGGAGUCGCUAGUAAUCGCAGAUCAGCACGCUGCGGUGAAUACGUUCCCGGGCCUUGUACACACCGCCCGUCACGUCAUGAAAGUCGGUAACACCCGAAGCCGGUGGCCUAACCCCUUGUGGGAGGGAGCCGUCGAAGGUGGGAUCGGCGAUUGGGACGAAGUCGUAACA
rnacentral:rRNA from 1 species